UGGGGAAUAUUGGGCAAUGGGCGAAAGCCUGACCCAGCAACGCCGCGUGAGGGAAGAAGGUCUUCGGAUUGUAAACCUUUGUCCUAUGGGACGAAACAAAUGACGGUACCAUAGGAGGAAGCUCCGGCUAACUACGUGCCAGCAGCCGCGGUAAUACGUAGGGAGCAAGCGUUGUCCGGAAUUACUGGGCGUAAAGGGUGCGUAGGUGGCCAUGUAAGUUAGGUGUGAAAGACCGGGGCUUAACCCCGGGGCGGCACUUAAAACUGUGUGGCUUGAGUACAGGAGAGGGAAGUGGAAUUCCUAGUGUAGCGGUGAAAUGCGUAGAUAUUAGGAGGAACACCAGUGGCGAAGGCGACUUUCUGGACUGUAACUGACACUGAGGCACGAAAGCGUGGGGAGCAAACAGG
rnacentral:rRNA from 1 species